CGUGAAACCGUCCAGGGGUAAACCUGCGAAACUCGAAUGAACGAACGGAGAGAUUCACCGUCAUUCCUCGGCGCACGGGCGUUGGCGCGAUGCCUCCGAUCUCGGUCGGCGGGCACGCGUCGCGUACGUCGCGCUCCGGGGACGGCGUGCACUUCUCUCUCAGUAAUACAUCGCGACCCGUUCGGUGUCGGUGUAAGUGCCCUCCGGGAGUCUUCGCUUCGUUAUUGUUGUGUAGACCGUGAGGUGUCACCGACCGGCCGCCGGACGGUAGUUGGUGCGAAACGCGCACGCGCUCGCGCGCGUCCGGCCCGACGCAAGGCAACGUCGUAUCCCGUAUCCUGCCCGAGUGCGGAUGUGGGUGCGGCGCGUCUGUAGUCGCAGCCGUGCUGUCUCGGACUGUGCGCGUAUCCGUCUGCGA
rnacentral:rRNA from 1 species